UACGGGGGGAGCAAGCGUUGUUCGGAUUUACUGGGCGUAAGGGGCGCGUUGGCGGCCACCGCAAGUCGACUGUGAAAUCUCCGGGCUUAACCCGGAAAGGUCAGCCGAUACUGCGGGGCUAGAGUGCAGAAGGGGCAACUGGAAUUCUCGGUGUAGCGGUGAAAUGCGUAGAUAUCGAGAGGAACACCUGCGGCGAAGGCGGGUUGCUGGGCUGACACUGACGCUGAUGCGCGAAAGCUAGGGGAGCGAACGGG
rnacentral:rRNA from 1 species